GUUAUAUAUCAUAGAUUAUACACUUAAUAUAUUUGAGGUUAUAUAUUGACACAUUAUCAUUUUUGCGGGGUUGAUUUUAAUUUCACUAUGUUAUUCCUUCAUCGUUGAAGUCAUUCGUGGAUAUGAAUUAAAUUUCAGAACAGUGCGCUCUCCGCAGAUCGGACGUGACUGAUCAUAUGCAGAGGAUCAUGUCAAAAUUCUCCAUUAGCCGAAUAUUAAUCGUUUUCAAUCAAAAUUCAACAUUUCAUCAGCAUUUUGUAUUGGAUUCUGCUGCAAUUCCGCAUUUAUCGAAAAAAUCUCAAACUGUUGAUGUUUACUGAAGGAAAAACGAUUAAAAACAUUGGUAUUGGGUUGAGCACGAUUAUUAUUUUCCGCUACGCUCUUUCAAAUACACCUAUUGAACAGAACAGAAUGAAUCGAGUAUUGCAAUUGAAUUUAAAACAGCAAUGAAGGUUGUAUCAACUGAAUCAAUAUAUAGAACAAAAUACAAAUUAUUUGGGGUUCUUGAAUAAAAAGUAAACAGGAAAGCACAAAGGACCAGUUUAUGCAAGACAGGGUUGACCGAAUGAUGUUUCACCAUUUAAACAAAAUAUGACCGUAAUUACCUAGAGUACGCACUUAAAAGUGUCCAACUCGCAUCAAGAAUUUAAUUGAUAAAAUGGUGAUAUUUCACAAGAAUAGGGAAAUAGAAUCCACGUUGCUGUAUUUACUUUUAUCUACUAUUACUACUUAGAGUACGUAUACGUGGACUAGUGAUCUAGAAUCAGUAAUAACUUAAUUAAGUUGCCUUAUAAAAGGGAUGUUUCUUUAAAGAACCUCUGAUUUACCUAAAAACUUAAAAUUUCAAGAAUAAAGUUAGUUCGUUUUAUUAUAUAAAAACAGACUGAAGCAUAAUUACAUUAUGGCUUUUGUUUAGCAUGAAAAAAAGUUCUUAAUUUUUCAAUCAAAUAUGUCGAACAUAUAACUUGUUCUGUGUUAAUAUUUCUUUAAAUGUAACUCUGUGACGCUUUCAUAUAUUUGUGAGUAUUUUAAUCAAGGCGUUCGGAGUUAAUAUUUAUUCCAAUAUUGAGCGUCAAAAGCACCAGUUCUCAAGCUGAAAAGCUGUUUAAUUAGUUUACGUCGCACUGGCACUGUCGUAAAAUAAAGAAAAGUUUUCUCUGACGGUCCACUCAACUAUAAAAUGUUCUUUUAAAACGAAAUGAAUAGAUAGUAAUUGUAAAAUCAAUCAAGACAGUUUGACUUUUCUGUAUUAUUUUUCUUCUGCCUGCAAUACUUUUUGCGUUUCAUUCCAGAGAGGACUGAAAGGGUAAUCAACUUUUCUUCCGUUUAGUUUUCGAUCUACGACUGUUAGACAUGACGGUAACUGAGUUACAAUAACAAUAAUUUUUUUUUAUUGCAUACACACUCACACACACAGCCACACCACCUGCACAGCCCACCUGGUGUUAAGUGGUUACUAGAACCCAUAGACCUUCACGGCAGAAAUGGGCAGGGUGGUGGUACCUACC